ACAAUUCUCCUUGCUUUAUGAUCAAGCAAACGGUAAGCCUUUGAUCCUGGCUCGGUCCCUAGAUGAAUGAGGAUACGUGUUCGAUCCUUCAAUUUCUUCAAGUGUGGCUUAUCGACCUUUGCAUAUGCGAUACACCCGAAAAUCCUUACAUGCUCAACAUCGGGUUUCUUGGAUCGAAAGCAUUCAUAUGGGGUUUGCUCCUUAAGUGCUCGCGUCAAUAC
rnacentral:lncRNA from 1 species